AGCGAACAGAUAAGGAGCUUGCUCCUUUGACGUUAGCGGCGGACGGGUGAGUAACACGUGGGUAACCUACCUAUAAGACUGGAAUAACUCCGGGAAACCGGGGCUAAUGCCGGAUAAUAUUUAGAACCGCAUGGUUCUAAAGUGAAAGAUGGUUUUACUAUCACUUAUAGAUGGACCCGCGCCGUAUUAGCUAGUUGGUGGGGUAAUGGCUUACCAAGGCAACGAUACGUAGCCGACCUGAGAGGGUGAUCGGCCACACUGGAACUGAGACACGGUCCAGACUCCUACGGGAGGCAGCAGUAGGGAAUCUUCCGCAAUGGGCGAAAGCCUGACGGAGCAACGCCGCGUGAGUGAUGAAGGUCUUCGGAUCGUAAAACUCUGUUAUUAGGGAAGAACAAAUGUGUAAGUAACUGUGCACGUCUUGACGGUACCUAAUCAGAAAGCCACGGCUAACUACGUGCCAGCAGCCGCGGUAAUACGUAGGUGGCAAGCGUUAUCCGGAAUUAUUGGGCGUAAAGCGCGCGUAGGCGGUUUCUUAAGUCUGAUGUGAAAGCCCACGGCUCAACCGUGGAGGGUCAUUGGAAACUGGGAAACUUGAGUGCAGAAGAGGAAAGUGGAAUUC
rnacentral:rRNA from 1 species